GCUACGGGGGUCAGCAGUGAGGAAUAUUGGUCAAUGGGCUUACGCCUGAACCAGCCAAGUCGCGUGAGGGAAGACUGCCCUAUGGGUUGUAAACCUCUUUUGUCAGGGAGCAAUUGGCGCUCCGUGUAGCGUUAUCGAGAGUAUCUGAAGAAAAAGCAUCGGCUAACUCCGUGCCAGCAGCCGCGGUAAUACGGAGGAUGCGAGCGUUAUCCGGUUUUAUUGGGUUUAAAGGGUGCGUAGGCGGAAUGCCAAGUCAGCGGUAAAAUCGCGGGGCUCAACCUCGCCUCGCCGUGGAAACUGGUGUUCUUGAGUGGGAGAGAAGUAUGGGGAAUGCGUGGUGUAGCGGUGAAAUGCAUAGAUAUCACGGAGAACUCCGAUUGCGAAGGCAGCAUACCGGCGCCCAACUGACGCUGAAGCACGAAAGCGUGGGUAUCGAACAGGAUUAGAUACCCUUGUAGUC
rnacentral:rRNA from 1 species